CGCACUUAUAACCCCGGCGAGCUGCCGCUGGUGCCCGUACUCACCACCUCUGAGUGGAGUGGCGUUCAAACAACAAGCCGAACAACGUCGAGACCAAGCGACGGUGGUCAUUUUCAACUUCAGGGCUCCUGGCUGCCCCAUGCUCCAGACUUAAGCUCAGGGGUGAUCGGGCCUUUGCUGUGUCUGCCCCCAAACUGUGGAACAGCAUCUCCUGCAAUCAGAUCUGCCCCCACCAUUGACUUAUUUAAGUCCAGGCUCAAGAGUCCCCCUGAUGUGGUCUUCCCUGGCACGUGCCUGUGUGUGUUGUGUCUCCAAAUGUGUGAGCUGUUUACCUGACAGUUACGUCGCCUCUUAUGUGUGUGUUUUUAGCAUUUUAUUCCUUUUGUGCAGCCCUUUGGUCAAUAUGAGCUGUUUUUAAAUUGAUAUAGCACUUUUCACAGAAAUGAAAUUCACAAAGUGAUUCACAAAAUAUAAUCAAAUGAUCAAACUAACAAAAUAACAAAGCAACAAAAAGGAAGUAAAACACAUGAGCAAAUACAGGCUACUGAGGCCUCAAACAGAAACUUACCAGGGAUACAAACACAGACAGUUUAGGGUGGGACAAAAACAAGUUUGAAAAGAUCUUAGUGUUGGAGCCACUUCUUCAAAGACACAAUCACCUUUCGUUUUGAGUCAGGAGCGGGGACCUAAGGGACCUACUGACGAUAUAAGGAUGGAGAUCACUGAUCUGUUCAGGUGCCUGACCAUGGAGGGCUCUGUACACGAGAACAAGUAUCUUGAAGUGAAUCCUGAACCUGAUGGGCGGCCAGUGUAAAGACACUAAAAUGGGAGUGAUGUGAGUUGACCUGUUGGACCUGGUUGACAGCCUGACAGCAGCGUUCUGGAUUAUUUGAAGACGAUUCAGAGAUGAUUUGUUUGGGCAAGUUAAAAGAGAAUUGCAGUAGUCCAGUCGGGAGGACACAUUUAUUUGACCAUAUCACAUAGUGUGGAGGACAGACAUUACAUACAAUAACAAAACAAUGGCACACAGCGUGGCUAAAGUACAACCUUAAACAAAGGAAGGACAUUCUUCAGAAAAGUUGGGGAAACACCCCUUUAUUUGUGCAUGUUUUAUUUUAUGUCAUACUGUAGGCAGUUAUUGAAUCUUAUGAGCAACUGAAAGUGUUGUUGUGGAAUUUAACGUAACGACUACUGAAUGUAUCAUGUUGAUACUUAUUUACUUUUUAUUCUAUAGACUUUUAAUAACAUUGUUUGUUCAUUUAUUCUGUCUUGGUGGGUUUGCUUUUUUAAUAUUUUAUUGUCUUAUUGUUGUCAUUUUCUAGUCUUGCAGAACUUUAUGUUUAGUUGUUUGUAUUAUCUUUCAAUGUCCGUGUCUGUGUCAUUUCUAUUGUGCCAUGUGAAGCACUUUGGGCUGCACGUUUGUAUGAAAGGUGCUAUAUAAAUAAAGUUGAGUUGAGUAAA